UGCCAGUAAAAUUUGUUUCAUUUGUACAAUAUGAUGAGUCUACUCAAAAUGAACAGGUAAAAUUGAUUGCCACAACGGAUAAAAUAAAAUAGGCCCAAGUAAAAUUCAUACACGAAAUAUAAAAUGUGGUGGUUUCUUGUUAUGCUUUGUAAGCUGACACUAAUUUACAGUUUAGGUAGGCUGUAAGUAGGCUAUUUCUAAACUAUUUGAUUUUUUAGGCUAUUUCUAAACUAUUUGAUUUUUUUUUUUCAGACAAAUAGGGAGUGUGUCAAGAAUGUUAAGAUUAAAUAUAGGAUCAAAUAUUAUGACACUUUUAAACAAACCGAAUAGAUAUAGUUUUUGGUCUGCUUUUUUGUAAUAUCAUUUUCUUACCCCAACAAAUCAUCAAUAUGUUACUUACGUACAUUCAGCCUCAAAAUAACAGACAGUUCUAGUCUAAAUAUAUAUAUGAUGGUGCAAGAACGGAAUGCGAUAUAUGGUCGAAUUACAUUGCAGCAAUCGAAAAGAUGACUGACCGGCACUCGUUCAGUACCGCAUACCGCCAUCGCAUCCGACCGUGACCGCAUUUUUCUCGGCUUGCAUAACAUAUCGCGUGACUUACUAGGUUAGUAACGUGAGGGAACGGACAGCAGAGAAGGCGGUGUUGAUGAUGGUAGGAGGAGAUUGUGCGUCGUCUUCCGCGUUUCCCCGGAUUUCAACCACUGUCCUGAUUCCAUCGUGUCCUCUCCUUGCACGUUUUUACGCUCGGCCCACCCUCCCAAUUGAGUUAGUUGUAAAGAAAAAAAUUCAAUCAAUUACAGGCCUCGCCGUCCCCCCCCUCCGCCUUCACCUCUCCUCUUUCUCUCCCCCCCGUGCAAAUAACUACCACCGCCUUCGUUCUCCACAUGAAGCAUCGGAGUACUGGGCCCCGGCGUACCGGCUCCAGCCAUGUCGGCGAGGAAUACAGCGGCUGGCGGCGAUGACGGAGCGACGGGGGAAAAGCCAGGAGACACAUUAGAGGAAGAACCCCAGGGCCUCUCUGUCUCUCUGUCUGGUUUGAUGACCCCCACCUCAGCCACCGGCAUGGCCUCAGGCAUGGAGCUGCCCAGGAAACGGAAAGGCAGCAUGGACAACCCGUGAGUAUAUUUACAUAUAUUUACAAUCUUUUUUCGUUUUAUUUUACAUUAAUUACUAA
rnacentral:lncRNA from 1 species